GUCAAUAAGGAAAGGAUACCCCGGAAAACCAACCCAGAAGUAAGAUUUGGGGCGUUUUACGUCGAACAGACAACUAUCAGAAAAAUCAAACAUCUACAGUAGAUUAUAAUCUGGAGGACCAUCUGGGGGAGGAGGAGAAGGUUCUCGCUCAGACUGUUGCUGCCGGAGGGCUUCGAGCGCCACCGUGUGGCCAAAUGGCCAAACUGCAACACUUUGUCCAAAACUGUGUCCGGGACAACUGUUCAACUGUCUCCUGAUGUUCUUCUUCCUCAUCGUCCUCAGUUUGACUGGACUCAAGUAAACAGAUUCAGUUAUUGUUCAUUUAUGUAGGUGUUAAUAAAAAGGUUGGGGGACCUGCAGACCACAAAAAGCAAAUAUUUGAAAUUAAGUUAUGGAGUAGGCUGAUUGAUUAAUUUAAUUUGAAAAGAUCCACAUCCUCGAAAACCUUUCAUCACCUUGAUACCACUUACAAAGUCUGCAACUAACAAUUAGUUUCAUUAUUAGUUAAUCUGACAUUAAUUCAGUUGAUUAAUCAGUUAAUUGUUUGGUCUAUAAAAUAACAAAACAUGCCUGUUACAAUUCCCCACAGAGUGAUUUGACAUAUUCUAAUUUCGUUUUUGUCCGACCAACAGAGAAGCAGCAGCAAAUCUUAAUAUUUGAGAAGCUGGAACCAGAGAUUGCCAUUUUUGCUUGAAAAAUGACUCGAUUAUCGAGAAUUUUUUUUGUCAAAUGAUAAGUCAAUUGAUUGACUAAUUGUUUGUGCUUUACUGCUUAUUACUAUGUAGUGUAUUUUAUGAUUUUACACCACAAAUCCAGAGGCGGCAAACAAACUUUAUUCCCCAUAUAAUAAACUGAAUUUACCUUGUGUUAUAUCCCUAAAUAUGUGAAUGAAUGAAUGCAUCUAAUCUGUUUCUUCUUCUCUUCUCGACAGUGUAAUAAUUUUUGAACAACUUUUAAUGCAUAAUUGUCCUCCAAAUGCUUCUACCUGGGAUUACAUAUUUGACCAAACAUGGCUGUUUGGGCAUUUUCAGAUCAGGCGGAAGGGAAUCGUGCUAUUAGAAAAGUUGCUGCUGUCGUUCUCGUCGGUGUAUUCGCGCCGAGGAGAGAAGAAGUGCAAACAAUCUCAGCUCUCGUCCAGCAGGUUUAAUUAAACACAACGUGACUGUAAACACAAAAGGAUUGCUCUGCAAUGAAAAACAG